rnacentral:pre_miRNA from 1 species
CCUGGAAACCUGACGUAUUUAGUCAUGUUCUUCACAAUUAAUUUGAGUUAAUUGUGAAGAACAUGACUAAAUACGUCAGGUUUCCA